rnacentral:rRNA from 1 species
CACGGGGGGAGCAAGCGUUGUUCGGAAUCACUGGGCGUAAAGGGCGUGUAGGCGGUCAAGUAAGUGGGAUGUGAAAUGCCCCGGCUCACCCGGGGACCGGCAUCUCAAACUGCUGGACUAGAGUACGGGAGAGGAUGAGGGAAUUCCUGGUGUAGCGGUGAAAUGCGUAGAUAUCAGGAGGAACACCGGUGGCGAAAGCGCUCAUCUGGCCCGAUACUGACGCUGAGGCGCGAAAGCUAGGGGAGCAAACGGG